ACCUUAUCGGAGCUGGAAGAGAGAGAGAGAGAGACUGCUGAGAGAGUAUUAUGGAGAAGGAGACGCUGCGUCAGACCAGGUAGGUGGAUCUGCUUUUCCACCUCCCUUUUCCAAAUUCGAAACAGAUAGCCGUUGCCUAUAACAAAGUAACCUGUGAGUGAAAUAACACCCAAUUCCUCUGUUACAUUUCUUGCAAUCUUACCUGAGACAAAGUUACAGGUUGAGACAUUGUUACCUGUAACAUUUCUCUCCCAAACACAAGCUGUUAAAUACAUUUUUUAGAGAAGUUACUGGCAUCCAAACAGCCCCCUUUGUAUUUCUCUCCUCUUUCCUCAAAUCAGUCCAUCGUUCCUCCUCAACUGAAUAUGAAACUCUGCAAAAUCCCACCUUCGAUCUCUCAUUACCACCUCCAAAGGCUCCUCCGCUACUUCUCUUCUUCUUCUUCUCCUUCUACUUCUCCUCUCUCUCCUCUCUCCAACCCCAUAUCUCUCCAUCACCAUCUCUCCUUCCUUAGAAACUUCUCUUCUCUCCCCCAAACCCCACCCUCCGAAAUAGCCCAAUCCAUCGCCACUCAACUCCUCAAACCCGAACCCGAAAACCCCUCUCUCCCCCUCCAACAGCGCCUCUCUCUCCAUUUCUCCCACGUCGAUUUCAAUCCCCUCUUAAUCCUCCAAACCCUCAAUCUCUCCUCUGACGCCGGCCGUAACGUUCUCUCCCUCCACCGCUACCUUUCCCAAGACCGUCCUGAUGUCAAACUCGAUGACUCAUCUCUUAGGUAUUUCGUCGAACACCUUGGCCGCAACAAGGAUUUUAAGGCCAUUGAUGAGUUCCUUACUGAAAAUCGUGGCGUCGCUGGGCCCGAAUGCUUUAGAGCUGCUGUUAAUCGCCUUGUGCGUGCUGGACGGCCCACACAAGUGAUCGCCUUUUUUGAUAGAAUGGAGAAGGACUAUGGCUUUGUCCGCAACCGCGAGUCACUGUUUGUUGUUGUUUCUGCGCUCUGCGAACAUGGGUUUGCUUCCCAUGCCGAGCGGUUUGUCAAACAGGUGGCAGACGAGAUUUUCCCUGAUGAGGCUAUCUGUGAUGCCCUCGUUAGAGGGUGGUGCGUGGAUGAGAAGUAUGAUGAGGCAAGGCGGCUGGUGGGUGAGAUCACCCGUGGUGGGUUUGAGCUCGGGACGUCAGCAUACAAUGCACUGCUUGAUUGUGUCUGUAAGCUAUGUCGCAAAAAGGACCCUUUUCGGGUCAUGUUUGAGGCAGAGAAGGUGCUUGUUGAAAUGGAAACCGUGGGUGUCCCACGUGAUGUUGGGACAUUCAAUGUUCUCAUCUCCAAUCUGUGCAAGAUUCGGAAGACGGAGGAUGCAGUGAAGCUGUUUGACAGAAUGGGUGAGUGGGGUUGCUCGCCGGAUGCUGAAACGUUCAUUUUGCUCACGAGGAGUCUUUAUCAGGCGGCGAGAAUUGCUGAGGGGGAUGAAAUGAUUGAUCGGAUGAAGUCCGCUGGGUUCGGGAAGGCUCUUGAUAAGAAAAUAUACUAUGGGUUUGUCAAAAUUUUGUGUGGGAUUGAGCGGAUUGAUCAUGCGUUGAAGGUGUUUGUGAAAAUGAAGAAAGAUGGAUGCACUCCAGGGAUCAAGACUUAUGAUCUGUUGAUGGGGAAGCUGUGUGCUCAUGGGAGGGUUGACCGAGCAAAUGCACUAUUCCAUGAGGCAGAGAAGAAAGGGGUGCCUGUUACGCCAAAACCGUAUAAGGUUGAUCCUAGAUUUGCCAAGAAGCCUAAGGUCAAGAAGGAGAAGCCGCAGAGGGAAACAUUGCCAAUGAAGAUGGCAAGAAAGAGGAGAAAACUUAGAAAGCUUCGGUUGAGUUUCGUGAAGAAGCCGAAGCGAGGGAUGAGGAUGCGUUAUUGAUUGACAAGAUCAGUCGCAUGUGAAUGCAAUGGAGCAGAAGUUUUUCUGGCCAAUCAAUGAUUUGGAUUUCCAUCCUCAAACAACUGUACUGAUAUCAGGGGCGAAAGAUCACACCAUAAAGUAAGGUCCAAUCUCAUAGACGUUGCAUGAGGACAUGAUUACUGAGCCGCAGUUUGGAUGCAAGAAAAGUUGUCCGACACAGGCGAUCCAAGGCAGACAAGCUGUCCAUGGUUUGUAUAAGAAGAGAGAUUCCAUCCCAAUUUUCCUUGAAAGAAAGUACAUGUAGUUCCAUUACACAAUGUAUACUUGUAAGAGAGCAAAGGGGGGAAUAGAAAAAUGCAACAACCUUACAAAUAUCAAUACAAAACUUGCAAAAUCAGUUGGGGGAGGCCCCUUAAUUCGCCCUCCCAACUUCCAA